GCCGGAAGUGGCUGAGGAGCUGGUAUUGAAAACUUGUGCGCGGGCCAAGCGGGUCCUGCGCUUAAGAGGAGCCCCCGACACCUGGUGGUGCAAACGCAACCACCGUGCCACCUCCACCCCACUGAAGGGUGCAUCUAUCCAGAUGUGUUAAUGGCUUGAUUUUGCUGCACAUAACCAGGGACACAGGAGGCCAGCUCCAUACCGCUGACUCAUCGAGUUUCAUCUGGCCAUUCACUGCCCUAGUCCCUGGAGAGUGCUUAGUACACAGCGGGUGCCCUGUGGAUGCUCUGUGAACCCCAGGUGGUGCGCGGAGGAGUCCGAGUAUUCCUGCAUCACUGGCAAGGAGAGUGGGGCCACGGGCACCAUUUCAUCCCCGAGUAAGGAGCUGAGAUGACGCGUGAGGUUUGCGUCCUGCCGGGUCCUUUGGUGCUAACAUUUUGGUUCCCCGACGGGCCUCUGACAGCGAGUUUUACAGUUUUUUAAGUGGUCAGCUCAGCCUCGGCUGCCAGGAAACACCCCAGAACACCCUGCUUCCACUGCUCACUGCCUGCUCUCCUGGAGCAGCAUGAAGAGAGCUGAGUCGCUCACGACGGCCUCAGGACUUACCCACACUCUGUUCUGCUCCCCAUAUUCACUUCCAGGACUCUGAAAGGAAGCUCCUUCCCUCACUUCGCCCCCUCUCAGCUCAAAAAGGUUAGAGACACUGAACGCUGACCCCAGACCCUCCUUUCUUCUCCAAGUAAAAAUAUUGCCCACUAAGAACAAAUUUUUUAAUUCUCACAAGCCUGUUUCCUGAGUGCCCAAACUGAUAUGCUCACUAGACUACCCCUCAAAAAUGACCUACAUAAACCCAGUCCCUUUCUUUGAUCAGUGGCUCAUUUUCCACCAGGACAGUGGGUUCGCCAGCACCAUUCCACCCCCGUUCCUGAAUAAACAGCUGAGAUGACUCGUGA